GAGGUAUGAAAGAGAUCCUCAAAGGGAGGAUGGAGAACGAAUUGGAAGGGGGACCUCUCAAAGAAAAAGGAGUCUCUCUCUCUCUCUUUGUCCUCUUUUUCUCUACUAUUCUCGAGCUCCAACUAACUUAGGCAUUGGAGGGUCCCCCACUGAAACCCCUUCGAUGAGUAUAGACUUCCCUUACAAGUCCUCUCCAACAUUCUGGAUCUCGGAUGGUGUCUAGCUCCUGCCACGUUAGCACC
rnacentral:lncRNA from 1 species